rnacentral:lncRNA from 10 species
AAAGGAGAAACACUAAAAGUAUGUCUGUCCUUUAUUACAGAGUAAGGGUAUGAAGGUAUUUCUGGAGCUGAAAGGCAACAAAUUGAAGACUGGCACGCACACCCCCAAGUAUUUUGUGCUAGAUACUUCUUCCUACAGAUACUUUCAAAGCUUUGAACUUGAAGGAAAAACACACUCUACAGGAGUCCCCCUAGUGAAAUGAGGACUGUGAUGCAAAGUCUGGGUGAAAAGCAUGUAACUGCCUAAUAAGAGAUCAUCUGUACAGCCAG